rnacentral:rRNA from 1 species
UACGUAGGGUGCGAGCGUUGUCCGGAAUUAUUGGGCGUAAAGAGCUUGUAGGCGGUUUGUCGCGUCUGCUGUGAAAAUCCGGGGCUCAACCCCGGACUUGCAGUGGGUACGGGCAGACUAGAGUGUGGUAGGGGGAGACGUGGAAUUCCUGGUGUAGCGGUGAAAUGCGCAGAUAUCAGGAGGAACACCGAUGGCGAAGGCAGGUCUCUGGGCCACUACUAACGCUGAGAAGCGAAAGCAUGGGGAGCGAACAGG